UGCCCCUGAGCACACAUGACGCACACACAGGCACACAAAAACAGACAACAGGGCCUACCAGACAAAAUCAGGAUAUGACAUCAUACACAGGAAGAGAAGCCAAGUGACUUUUCAGCUUGUUUUUUUUUUAUUCUAAACUGUAUUCCUAACUGAGUUUUGGAGGGAUAAGACCGGCUGAUGAGUGGGAAAGAGAAAGGAUCCUCACAAGACAAUUUGGAUUUGAGCUGUUCCCUCUUGGAAAGAACAGGAGACAGAGGAAUUCUUUUCAAGUUUCCCACAACAUUCCAAGUGUCUAGAGCGGGACUAAAGCCAGGUUCUUUAGAGACUUCCUCAUUGGAUGGGACGAGGGCCCAGGGAAUCAUAAGAGUCAACAAUCACAACUAUCCAGAUCCUGACUGGAUCUGACUCCUCCAUCACCCUGCUCAGUUCAGCAAUGGCUCUGUGCUUGGGUCAGGUUUUCAGCAAAGACAAAACAUUCCGGCCUCGAAAGCGAUUUGAACCGGGAACCCAGCGUUUUGAGCUGUACAAAAGAGCCCAAGCGUCUCUGAAAUCAGGCCUGGACCUGAGGAAAGUGGUACAGCUGCCAGAUGGGGAGAACAUUAAUGACUGGAUAGCUGUGCACGUGGUGGAUUUCUUCAAUCGUAUCAAUCUCAUCUACGGGACCGUGAGUGAGUUCUGCACUGAGAAGAGCUGUCCUAUCAUGUCCGGAGGGCCACGUUAUGAAUACAGGUGGCAGGAUGGGGAUCAAUACAAGAAACCCACCAAGCUGCCUGCUCUUAUAUACAUGAACCUCCUGAUGAACUGGAUCGAGUCACUCAUCAAUAAUGAGGACAUCUUUCCUACACGAGUAGGAGUCCCUUUUCCAAAGAACUUUCAGCAGGUGUGCAAGAAGAUUCUGAGUCGGUUGUUUCGGGUGUUUGUACAUGUGUAUAUCCAUCACUUUGACAUGAUCUGUAGUAUGGGGGCUGAGGCUCAUAUCAACACCUGCUACAAACACUACUAUUUCUUCAUCUCUGAGUUCAGCCUUAUUGACCACUCGGAGCUGGAGCCACUGUAAGAAGGUUGAACUUUCUUCUCUUGCGUCCUAUUCUUCUGCUAUCCAGAAUGGCAGCACAGCUGAAAGUUUGAGCUGCACCCUCUACUGUACAGAAAGAAAUGACAGAGAGGAUCUGCCACUGAAAGAUGUGGAGGAUUGAUGUGCAUCCAAAAGCACAAAAAACUUCAAACAUUCAGACCAAAAGAAUAAUGUACUUGAGGUCUGAUCUAAGACCAGGCGAGAUCUAAGACUCUCAAAUGUGCUAAACUGCAAUACAACUUUGCUUCAAUAUUUCAGAAAUACUAUGUGUCCAGAAAUUCAGUACAUGUUCUAGAGACAGUAAAUGUUUAAAUAAUAUAUGUCAGAUUGUGCAGUAUUGAUAUGAAAUGAUACAUUGAUUGCUUAGUAUUCUGCAUAUAUUUUUGAGCAUUUCACAAUGUGACUUCAACGAUACUUUAAAAAUAUUUGUCCCUGAGGGAAACUUGUCUUGAAAUGGCAUGUCUAAAACUUCUGCUAAGUGUGAGAUGUUACAUUCUUGCUCUGUUGAGUCUGUGCCAGUGCAGGGGCGGAAGCCUUUGAUAGUAUUUUUAUUUAACCAGGGUAUGUGCAGUAAGAAACUAUUACCAUAGCUGGUGAAUGAUGAUGAAUAGUACUCCACAGUAUUGUUCUUAUUUCAGGACAUUUUGAUGUGCUGUUUUUGCUAUUGUAUUUUUGCAUGCAAGUUUAAAAUACAAACAUUUUAAAUGA